rnacentral:rRNA from 1 species
CAGUAGCCGCGGUAACACGUAGGUGGCAAGCGUUGUCCGGAAUUAUUGGGCGUAAAGCGCGCGCAGGCGGAUAGGUCAGUCUGUCUUAAAAGUUCGGGGCUUAACCCCGUGAUGGGAUGGAAACUGCCAAUCUAGAGUAUCGGAGAGGAAAGUGGAAUUCCUAGCGUAGCGGUGAAAUGCGUAGAUAUUAGGAAGAACACCAGUGGCGAAGGCGACUUUCUGGACGAAAACUGACGCUGAGGCGCGAAAGCCAGGGGAGCGAACGGGAUUAGAUACCCGAGUAGUCCCUGUCUCUUAUACA